AGUGAACGCUGGCGGCAGGCCUAACACAUGCAAGUCGAGCGGAUGCAGGGUACGUGCUUCCUGAUUCAGCGGCGGACUGGUGGGCAAGUGCGAGGAAUCUGCCUAUUUAUUUUGGAGAGCGGGCUGACACGGGCGCUAAUACCGCAUUCGUCCAUACGAACUAAGUGUGAGAUCUUCGGAUCUUACGCUCUUGCGUGAGCCAAUGUGGCGAUGUCGGGUUAGCGAGGUGGAGGGGUAAAGGCCCACCAAGGCGACGAUCCGUAGCUGGUCUGAGAGGAUGACCAGCCACACUGGAACUGAGACACGGUCCAGACUCCUACGGGAGGCAGCAGUGGGGAAUAUUGGACAAUGGGCGCAAGCCUGAUCCAGCCAUGCCGCGUGUGUGAAGAAGGUCUUCGGAUUGUAAAGCACUUUUGUUUGGGAGGAAGGGCAGUAAGUUAAUACCUCGCUGUUUUGACGUUACCCAAAGAAUAAGCACCGGCUAACUUCGUG
rnacentral:rRNA from 1 species